UUGGGAAAGUUUUACUCCCACACCAAACUUCUUCAUCAAGGAGUAUCAGUCAGUCAUGGUAAACUUUUUUGGCUUAACUCUAUCAGUGUCUCAAUGAUUUAUAUGAUAUCUUUUAAAGAACUUAGAUUCUUUUACAGAUGUGGUUAAAUGCUAUUUAUGCACCAGAUUUUCAAGAAGUCAAUGUUGCUCCUGGAAACCGUUAUAGUUAUAACCCUGUAUUUCUAACCAAACAUAUCAGACCUUCUGAUUUAUCUCUGCUUUUAAGAAAUAUUUUGAGUGAUUUGUCCCCUUUUGCUAGUCGAAGAAAAGGUCCUGCUUGGUUUACUCAUAAAAUUUCUGAUCAAAUACUUAGAAACUAGGUGGCGAAGUCAUUGAAGUGAACCAUAACAAAACUAGUUGUCGCAUGUAGAAACAAGUGCUUGUAACACGCCCUUUUCUAAAACAACACAACAACCUAAUCCAGAACUUCGGAUUAAAAAGAAAACAAGAAAUGGAAUGAAGAGAAGCUAUAGGAGGGAAUUUGUCACGUUGGUAUAAAAAUUAAGUAAUGAGCUUGUGGAGGAAAAGACUAUAUAAGUUACUCUCAAAUUUUACAGGAUAUUUAGUAG
rnacentral:lncRNA from 1 species